rnacentral:lncRNA from 1 species
AAAUACGAAAGGCAGAAAAAAAACCAAGUGAGAGGAGUAAGUACCCGCGGCGCGGUCACGCAGCGCCGGGAGCCUGCCCCCAAAAUCCCGCUUUCUGAGCCCGUUUAGCGCCGGGGAAGCACGCCGGACCCAAAAUCCCGCUUUCCGAGCCCGUUUUGCGCUGCGGACACGAGCGCGAACCCCAAAAUCCCGCCUUCCGAGCCCGUUUUGCGCCGGGGACGCCGCGCCACCGGAAACCCCCCCCCCCCCCCAAAAACCCCACAAAAAUGGGGUUGCGGGGCCCCCCCCCGGCUUCACGCCCGCCCCCCCCCCCUCGAUUUAUAAAUCCACAAAUCGGGUGAAAACGCAGCAAAAAGCGGGUCGGGGCCGAGGGGGGGGGGACCCCGCUGCGAUGCCCGGGGGGGCCCAAAAUCGCCUUAAAUUGCCCCAAAAAAAAAAGGGAAAAAAAGGACAAAACGGCCAAAAAAAAAAGCAAAAGGCGCCGGUGGCGGCACUCCCGACGGACGGGGUUCGAGUCCCCGCGGCGCCUGCUGC